CAGAUGGUGCAGGCGGGAAACACGUGGAGGAUCCACAAAGUAGGAGAAAACAAACGACUUUGUUGUGAGCACAGUAGUUUUCCACGGGGCUAUGAGUUCUUCUGCACCACAGUGGUGUCGACGCAAGCAUAUUAUGCUAUGGUGGACUUUUCACAUAGCUGAUGCCCUCCAAACUUUCGCCAAAGAGCUCAUCCUGAGAAAAAUCUACAAGUGUUGAUGCAUGAAUGGACCAAAUCAAGCCUGCCACCUGGUUUUGGAAAUACGGUUUUAUUGGAAUUCCAUGUGUUUUUACCGAUGGCCCACAUCUGCUUUCACGUUUCAGUAGCAGAGAUGAGUGGGCUUGAUGCCACUUCCAUCCAGGCCAGAGCUGUGCUACAUGAAGAAUAGAAGCACUGUGCCUGCAAUGGUUCCAAGGAUCUCACUUUGUACCCUAGGCUUACCUGGAAGUUGUGAUCCUCCUGCUUCCCCCUCCCAAAAGCUGGGAUUAGAUGUGCACACUACUGUGCUUCAAUUGAAGAUUUGACUAACAGCUGGAAACAGAGGCUAAG